ensembl:lncRNA novel transcript
GAUGCCCGCCUACUGGCGCCCUAGCAACCGGGUUGCGAACCAUGUUCUAUCCCGACUAAGUGGCCGUCCUGGGAGUUAUAGUGCCACUAGCCGGCCUCGGCUGUUCCCUGUCCGAGGCUCUUGUCAUUUCCGCUUAUUUCCUCCACGGGUGCCGAUUUCAUGUGUGUGUUCCCGAGUGCCUGAGCCGGCUCCCGAAAUGAGUACUCGUGGUUUCCGCGUGGGAACCAACCUCGAGCGCCAGUGGCCCGCCCUCUCCGGGCUGAGGUGGCUGCUGAGGCUGGGGCUGCUCCUGAGGCUUCAGGGCCGCCCGCUGCACGGCUUUCUACCUUCCCAGGUUAGCCGCGGUCAACUUCUGCCAGGCGGAGCGAGAAAUCGCAUUUUGUCAGCCUACUGAGAGGUGACAGUGUGCUGGCAGCCCUCACAGCCCUCCCUCGCUCUCAGCGCUUCCUCUGCCUGGGCUCCCACUUUGGCGGCACUUGAGGAGCCCUUCAACCCGCUGCUGCACUGUGGGAGCCCCUUCCUGCGCUGGCUGAGGCAGGAGCUGGCUCCCUCAGCUUGCGGGGAGGUGUGGAGGAGAGGCGCGGGCAGGAACAGCAGCAGUGUGACUUCCGGGUGGGCGUGGGCUCGGUGGGCUGCACACUCAGAGCGGCCAGCUGGCUCCGCCGGCCCGGGGCAGUGAGGGGCUUAGCACCUGGGCCAGCAGCUGCUGUGCUUGACUUCUCGCCGGGCCUUAGCUGCCUCCCUGUGGGGCAGGGCUCGGGACCUGCAGCCCGCCAUGCCUGAGCCUCCCCCCGCCAUGGGCUCCUGCACUGCCGGAGCCUCCCCGACGAGCGCCGCCCCCUGCUCCAUGGCACCCAGUCCCAUCGACCACCCAAGGGCUGAGGAGUGCGAGUGCAUGGCGUGGGACUGGCAGGCAGCUCCACCUGCGGCCCCGGUGCAGGAUCCACGGGGUGAAGCCAGCUGGGCUCCUGAGUCUGGCGAGGACUUGGAGAACCUUUAUGUCUAGCUAAGGGAUUGUAAAUACACCAAUUGGCACUCUGUAUCUAGCUCAAGGUUUGUUAAACACACCAAUCAGCACCCUGUGUCUAGCUCAGGGUUUGUGAAUGCACCAAUGGACACUCUGUAUCUAGCUACUCUGGUGGGGACUUGGAGAACCUUUAUGUCUAGCUAAGGGAUUGUAAAUACACCAAUUGGCACUCUGUAUCUAGCUCAAGGUUUUUAAACACACCAAUCAGCACCCCGUGUCUAGCUCAGGGUUUGUGAAUGCACCAAUCGACACUCCGUAUCUAGCUAAUCUAGUGGGGACGUGGAGAACUUUUGAGUCUACCUCAGGGAUUAUAGAUGCACCAAUCAACACCCUGUCAAAACGGACCAAUCAGCGCUCUGUAAAACAGACCAAUCAGCUCUCAGUAAAAUGGACCAAUCAGCAGGAUGUGGGUGGGGCCAGAUAAGGGAAUAAAAGCAGGCUGCCGGACCCAGCAGUGGCAAGGCGCUUCGGUUGUCUUCCAUGAUGUGGACGCUUUGUUCUUUUGCUCUUUGCAAUAAAUCUUCCUGUUGCUUUCUUUGGGUCCACACUGCCUUUAUGAGCUGUAACACUCACCGUGAAGGUCUGAAGCUUUACUCUGGAAGCCAGUGAGACCAGGAACCCACCGGGAGGAAUGAACGACUCCAGACACACCGCCUUAAGAUCUGUGACACUCACCGCGAAGGUCUGCAGCUUCAUUCCUGAUCCAGCGAGACCAUGAACCCACCAGAAGGAAAAAACUCCGGACACAUCCGAACGUCUAGAAGAAACAAACUCCAGACACACCGCCUGUAAGAACUGUAACGGUCACCGCGAGGGUCCGCGGUUUCAUUCUUGAAGUCAGUGAGACCAAGAACCCACCAUUUCUGGACACACUACCAUGCCAGAGAUCCAGGGGCUGCAGCAUGCUGAAAGAAAACAGAAGCCUGUGGAGUGAGCCAAGAUCAACCAGGAAAUAAACCCUUUCCCUUGCGAUGUCUCUCCAGCGCCCUCUACUGACAAACCUGCUUUAGUGCCAGUUUGUAGAGAAUUGUCUUUGCUGAUCUCUUUAUUAUGAUGAAAAUUCUCUGGAUGGAAGGGUCAUCAGCUGCCGUCUCCUUUGCUACUCUGCUAGAUAUCCUUACAAUUUGGUUUAGAAUUUUAGUACCACUAACAUUUUUUGGUGCAUAUUUUGGAAAUAAAGAAAAGGUAAACUCUU